CGUCUUUUGGUAUGACGCGGUCGGGGAUCGAACCCGCGACCUUCCGCUCUCCGGGUGGACGCUCUAACCACUACACCACGGAGGCGGUCGGGCAGAUUUGAAGGUUGUCAAGGAGGGAACACAUCUGGGGUGAUGGGGAAGAGAGUUCCAUAGAACAGCAGCAGAGUGCUUGAAGGGUCUGGAACCAAAUGUCUUCAACGUUUAGGGAGGUACAGCAAGCAGGAAUUUAUUGCACCCAGUAGAGUCACCAUGGUAAUUGAUGCUUAUUGGGCACGCUUGAAACAGAACAAGUAAAUCUUGUUAAUGAGGGUUGUACAGUGAUGCCAGCAUUGUGCUGAUUCAGAUAUGACAUGAAUAUGGUUCCUUAGUCGUGUCUUUGGUUUCCAACUCUGGUGCAUAGAUGAGGUGAAGAAUCCUACUGAUGUCGACAUUCUUGAAGGAAAUGAGAACAUCUAUGUGUCUGGAACAGAGGUUGAACCUUUGGGCGUCCUGUGCUUUCAUUGAUUUUAAUUAUAUAGUCAAUAAUUUAGAUUUGUCAUCAAGAUCAGAUAGGAAUAGAGUUGAACCUAUUGGGAUACCUGCAACUUGUCUAAAUAUGCUGUCCCCAAAUUUGACACAGAAAAUGUGAAUCAAGACAUAGCAAUUUACACCCAUUAUGAAUUGUAGUUAAAGUUCUGUAGGUAAUAACUAGAUGUAGAUGUAUACAAUUCUUGUGCAUUCAGUGUAUUGUAGACAAAAGUCAGCUCAUAGCUGUUGUUUCCUUGUAGUCUGCUCUUUAAAAGACCAUUAAAGGGACAAUUUACAACUAAGAUGCCACAGUGGCAGUAUGUUCUAUUGGAAACAGGGUUAUCAGGGUAAAAUAGCCAGCCAUAUCAGUGUUACUCAGAGUCUUUACAGACUGUGUGAUAGCUACAGGCAAAUUAGUAGUAACAUCAGGCCAUCUUAAGUGAAGAACUGUUCAGAAGAUCAUUAGAAUGAUGUAAUUUGUCAUAUGUGGCCAUCCUGAUAUCAACUACACAAGCUGAAUGGAGGAAAUACACUUUUCUUGGUGAUAUGAAAACUUACACAUCUGCAAA